rnacentral:rRNA from 1 species
AACGAACGCUGGCGGCAGGCCUAACACAUGCAAGUCGAACGCGUCCUUCGGGACGAGUGGCAGACGGGUGAGUAACGCGUGGGAACGUACCCCUUCGGUUCGGGAACAACAGCGGGAAACUGCUGCUAAUACCGGAUAAGCCCUUCGGGGGAAAGGAUUUAUUCGCCAGAGGAUCGGCCCGCGUUAGAUUAGCUUGUUGGUGAGGUAAUGGCUCACCAAGGCUACGAUCUAUAGCUGGUCUGAGAGGAUGAUCAGCCACACUGGGACUGAGACACGGCCCACGACUCCUACGGGAGGCAGCAGUGGGGAAGUAUUGGACAAU